rnacentral:lncRNA from 1 species
CUGCGCAUUCUGUCCCCCAUUUUUUGGCAUCUUCCAAAAUCAACAGGAACCGUACAUUUACAUCACUGUUAAAAAUUUGGACCGCUGUGAUGAUCUAAGAACACCCACGUACAGAUGAAAGUCAAUGAAAUUCUUUAAUCGAGGUGGGUAAUAAGUUUGUGGGGGAUUAGGGGAUUAUCCAUCGAGUAAUGGGUUUAGACACG